rnacentral:rRNA from 1 species
UCCAGACUCCUACGGGAGGCAGCAGUGGGGAAUAUUGCACAAUGGGGGGAACCCUGAUGCAGCGACGCCGCGUGAGUGAAGAAGUAUUUCGGUAUGUAAAGCUCUAUCAGCAGGGAAGAAAAUGACGGUACCUGACUAAGAAGCCCCGGCUAACUACGUGCCAGCAGCCGCGGUAAUACGUAGGGGGCAAGCGUUAUCCGGAUUUACUGGGUGUAAAGGGAGCGCAGACGGCUGUGCAAGUCUGGAGUGAAAGGCGGGGGCCCAACCCCCGGACUGCUCUGGAAACUGUAAAGCUGGAGUGCAGGAGAGGUAAGCGGAAUUCCUAGUGUAGCGGUGAAAUGCGUAGAUAUUAGGAGGAACACCAGUGGCGAAGGCGGCUUUCUGGCUCAUAACUGACGCUGAGGCGCGAAAGCGUGGGGAGCAAACAGGAUUAGAUACCCGAGUACG